GAUGAACGCUAGCUACAGGCUUAACACAUGCAAGUCGAGGGGAAACGAUAGAGAAAGCUUGCUUUUUCUAGGCGUCGACCGGCGCACGGGUGAGUAACGCGUAUCCAACCUGCCCAUCACUUGGGGAUAACCUUGCGAAAGUAAGACUAAUACCCAAUGAUAUCUCUAGAAGACAUCUGAAGGAGAUUAAAGAUUUAUCGGUGAUGGAUGGGGAUGCGUCUGAUUAGCUUGUUGGCGGGGUAACGGCCCACCAAGGCGACGAUCAGUAGGGGUUCUGAGAGGAAGGUCCCCCACAUUGGAACUGAGACCCGGUCCAAACUCCUACGGGAGGCAGCAGUGAGGAAUAUUGGUCAAUGGGCGAGAGCCUGAACCAGCCAAGUAGCGUGCAGGAUGACGGCCCUAUGGGUUGUAAACUGCUUUUAUAAGGGAAUAAAGUGAGCCUCGUGAGGCUUUUUGCAUGUACCUUAUGAAUAAGGACCGGCUAAUUCCGUGCCAGCCGCCGCAGUAA
rnacentral:rRNA from 1 species